rnacentral:snoRNA from 9 species
GCUUUAUGAUCAGACUCAUUGUUUCUUGAGCCUAAUGACAGCUUUCAUUCUUGCAAAGGGAAAUCUGAGGUC